rnacentral:rRNA from 1 species
UACGGGGGGGGUAAGCGUUGUUCGGAAUUACUGGGCGUAAAGGGCUCGUAGGCGGCCAACUAAGUCAGACGUGAAAUCCCUCAGCUUAACUGGGGAACUGCGUCUGAUACUGGAUGGCUUGGAUUUGGGAGAGGGAUGCGGAAUUCCAGGUGUAGCGGUGAAAUGCGUAGAUAUCGAGAGGAACACCUGCGGCGAAGGCGGGUUGCUGGGCUGACACUGACGCUGAUGCGCGAAAGCUAGGGGAGCGAACGGG